CCUACGGGAGGCAGCAGUGGGGAAUAUUGCACAAUGGGGGGAACCCUGAUGCAGCGACGCCGCGUGAGUGAAGAAGUCUUUCGGUAUGUAAAGCUCUAUCAGCAGGGAAGAAAAUGACGGUACCUGACUAAGCCGCCCCGGCUAACUACGUGCCAGCAGCUGCGGUCAUACGUAGGGGGCAAGCGUUAUCCGGAUUUACUGGGUGUAAAGGGAGCGCAGACGGCUGUGCAAGUCUGGAGUGAAAGGCGGGGGCCCAACCCCCGGACUGCUCUGGAAACUGUAAAGCUGGAGUGCGGGAGAGGUAAGCGGAAUUCCUGGUGUAGCGGUGAAAUGCGUAGAUAUUAGGAGGAACACCAGUGGCGAAGGCAGCUUACUGGACUGCAACUGACGUUGAGGCUCGAAAGCGUGGGGAGCAAACAGGAUUAGAUACCCUAGUAGUC
rnacentral:rRNA from 1 species